CAUCCGCACGGCCGUGACCUGGGCGAGCAUCUCCCCCGUGCGAGCGCCGAGCGCCCCGGCGGGGUCACACCGACCCCGGGUGGGAUAGCGGGAUGUGCGCCCGCAGGGAGCGCGGCAUCCUCGGGACCGGCCCGAAAGGGAUGGGGGGAAUGGGGAAAAAAAAUAAAUAAUAAGAAAAAGGGGAGAAAGAAGAGGGAUAGCGAGGAAAAGGCGAGGAUGUUUCGAGGCGCUCCGUAACCGCCGCUGAUAACGAGCGGGAUGAGGGAAUGGAGAUGGGUUUUAUUUUUAUUUCUUUCUCUGUCUCUCUUUUUUUUUUUUUUUUUUUUUUUUUUUUUUUAAUUAAAACUUUAGUGGGUCCUGGGGAUCGCGCUCGCUUCGCUUUGCUUUGUAGAAUGGAAAGAGAUACACGGAGAAAUGCAGGCCUUGUCAGGAUUUAUUGAAGUUGGGUUUAAAAAACGUGCUUCAGAUGAUUUUUCCCAUUUUCUCAGAUUUCAAAGGCUCCCCGCAGUGCGGCUGCCUAAUUAAUGGUGAAAUUCAACUAAAUCUAAUUAUGCAGUAAUUUUAAAGCAGUUAGUCCUGGGCGCUGCUUUGUAAUAGGAACCCAGUUUUUAAAGUUUGCUUAAUGUGUUGGUUUAGGGAGCUGGGGAGGAGAAGGGUGUAAGGGACAGAGCUGUGGGGUUGGUUUUUUCCCUUUCCCCCUUCUCCCCUUCCCCCCCCCUCCAACCUUUUGUAAAGCAAAGAAAUGCAAAAUAUAAACCCAAAACAGCCAGCGAAAGGCAAGGAGAGAGGCUGUGUUAUCCCCUCGUAUGUAAUACGGGUAUUGAGUGAGAAGCACCAGCGAAAGUGUAAAUAACACAGUACUUAAUAGGGACCAUAAAGGUAUUCCUGGCCUGUGGAUUUCCAAGUGCCGAGCUGUUUUAGAGAGGAUCUUGAAUCCUGCGGUAAUAAAGGGGCAACGGAGACACACAGCGUCUCUUCUUGGGAAAUAGAAACCAGAUUUCUGCUAUUGAACAUCUAUUGUCAUUAAGAGGAGAGGCUUGUGCUCGCGAAGUUAUAAAUCUUAUCACCCUUUUGAUAACACAGUUGUAAUCAGUUAGCAUCGCAUUCAAACCCAAUUGUAAAACUGCCUAAUUUAAUAUGUCAUACAUGUCAUUAAAACUUUAUUUUUCCCACUUCUCUUUUUUUUUUUUUCCCCCCCUCUCUCUACCCAUCCCCCCCCAAGUAAAAUGUCAACAGAUCUGGCUGGUAACGUGCAGCAGGGAGAGCCCGAGGUGGCUGCGCUGCUCCGGGGGCGAGCCCGGUGCUAUGAUGAAGAGGGUUUGCUUUCUUCCCAUCUAGCCCCAAAAUAUCGACGAUACGUGUAUUCGGUAUCAAAACCCGUCGAGUUGCGAAGUCCAAGAUGAAUAAUAAAAGAGGGGAAAAUUGUCCCUGAAUUAUCUGCGUGUCGCUUCAUAAAUGCUUGCGAGCGGCUCUCAGGAGCCACACCACCUCGCAGAGAUGCUGCUUACCUCUGCUGAAAUUUCUCUCCUUUUUCUUAGCUUUUGCUUUGAACCCUACCCAAUAGCCUGUACGCGAAUAAAAGGAAUGAACUCAGAAAGAAGCACCGUUCAUUGUUGGAUUCAAGCACUGUAAAAAAAAAAAAAAAAUUACUGAAAUGCAGCCACAUAGCGCCCUUAAGAUUAUUUCCCUUUCCUAGAAAGUAGCUCCUAACCUCGGAUUUCUGCCCCCUCCCCCUUCUUCCCUGGUUUUAUUCCCCCCCUCCCCCCCACGCACACACACCCUUGACCACAUCUUUCUCCGAUUCGCCUUGGAGAAAAAAAAUUGCAUGUGCUGAUGUGAUGGAGCCCUUUAAACAACGGGCAUGUGAGAGCUGUAUUCACUCUGAAACAUUAGCCCUAUUUUCUGAAUUUCCUUCCUUUCAAAUAGCUGCUCGUAUCUUACUAUCCUGGAUCCCUGAUUUAAACAUCCUCACUUCUAGGAGCUUGUUAGAUACAUCUACAUUUUAAUUUAAUUUAAUUUCGGUAUUGUACUUAAAGCAACAAUAAAUAAACCCGAGAACUUGUGUUUUCCUUUGCAGAGAGUUUUUUAUUCUUCUCCAGAAAUUUCAUUGAGAUGUCUCUGUACUUUGUUUGUCAGUUAUCUUUGUUCCUUUUAAAUAAAGGGCUUUUAAAUGGA